GACGAACGCUGGCGGCGCGCCUAACACAUGCAAGUCGAACGGAGUUGUGUUGAAAGCUUGCUGGAUAUACAACUUAGUGGCGGACGGGUGAGUAACACGUGAGUAACCUGCCUCUCAGAGUGGAAUAACGUUUGGAAACGAACGCUAAUACCGCAUAACGUGAGAAGAGGGCAUCCUAUUUUUACUAAAGAUUUAUCGCUGAGAGAUGGGCUCGCGGCCGAUUAGGUAGUUGGGGAGAUAACAGCCCACCAAGCCGACGAGCGGUAGCCGGACUGAGAGGUUGAUCGGCCACAUUGGGACUGAGACACGGCCCAGACUCCUACAGGAGGCAGCAGUGGGGGAUAUUGCACAAUGGGGGAAACCCUGAUGCAGCGACGCCGCGUGAGGGAAGACGGUUUUCGGAUUGUAAACCUCUGUCUUUAGAGACGAAAAAAAUGACGGUACCUAAGGAGGAAGCCACGGCUAACUACGUGCCAGCCGCCGCUGUAA
rnacentral:rRNA from 1 species